AGACCCGAAACCCGGUGAUCUAGCCAUGGGCAGGUUGAAGGUUGGGUAACACUAACUGGAGGACCGAACCGACUAAUGUUGAAAAAUUAGCGGAUGACCUGUGGCUGGGGGUGAAAGGCCAAUCAAACCGGGAGAUAGCUGGUUCUCCCCGAAAGCUAUUUAGGUAGCGCCUCGUGAAUUCAUCUCCGGGGGUAGAGCACUGUUUCGGCUAGGGGGCCAUCCCGGCUUACCAACCCGAUGCAAACUGCGAAUACCGGAGAAUGUUAUCACGGGAGACACACGGCGGGUGCUAACGUCCGUCGUGAAGAGGGAAACAACCCAGACCGCCAGCUAAGGUCCCAAAGUCAUGGUUAAGUGGGAAACGAUGUGGGAAGGCCCAGACAGCCAGGAUGUUGGCUUAGAAGCAGCCAUCAUUUAAAGAAAGCGUAAUAGCUCACUGGUCGAGUCGGCCUGCGCGGAAGAUGUAACGGGGCUAAACCAUGCACCGAAGCUGCGGCAGCGACACUGUGUGUUGUUGGGUAGGGGAGCGUUCUGUAAGCCUGUGAAGGUGUGUCGUGAGGCAUGCUGGAGGUAUCAGAAGUGCGAAUGCUGACAUAAGUAACGAUAAAGCGGGUGAAAAGCCCGCUCGCCGGAAGACCAAGGGUUCCUGUCCAACGUUAAUCGGGGCAGGGUGAGUCGACCCCUAAGGCGAGGCCGAAAGGCGUAGUCGAUGGGAAACGGGUUAAUAUUCCCGUACUUGGUGUUACUGCGAAGGGGGGACGGAGAAGGCUAUGUUGGCCGGGCGACGGUUGUCCCGGUUUAAGCGUGUAGGCUGGUUUUCCAGGCAAAUCCGGAAAAUCAAGGCUGAGGCGUGAUGACGAGGCACUACGGUGCUGAAGCAACAAAUGCCCUG
rnacentral:rRNA from 1 species